UGCGGCGGGGAGCUCAAAUGACGCCCCCAUGCCCCCUCACUUGGGCCAAAACUUUGAAAGGUCUCAAUUCUGCCCUCUUCCUGUUCUACUCCUCUCAUGGUACUGCUCUGCUACCUACCCCAAUAAAGGAGAACUAACAACUUAAAAUGCCUUGUUCAAAAAUUUU